rnacentral:rRNA from 1 species
GACGAACGCUGGCGGCGUGCUUAACACAUGCAAGUCGAACGGAAAGGCCCUGCUUUUGUGGGGUGCUCGAGUGGCGAACGGGUGGGUAACAAGUGAGUAACCUACCCUUGACUUUGGGAUAACUUCCGGAAACUGGGGCUAAUACCGGAUAGGAGCUCCUGCUGCAUGGUGGGGGUUGGAAAGUUUCGGCGGUUUGGGAUGAACUCGCGGGUUAUCAGCUUGUUGGUGGGUGAGUGGUUGACCAAGGCUUUGACGGGUAGCCGGCCUGUGAGGGUGACCGGCGCCCUGGCUACUGAGAUACGGCGCAGACUGGAACGGGAGGCAGCAGGGGGGAAUAUUGCACAAUGAGCGCAAGCGUGAUGCAGCAACGUCGCGUGCGUGAUGACGGGUUGCGGGUUGUAAACGGCUGUCGCGUGUGACGAAGCGUGAGUGACGGUAAUGGGUAAAGAAGCACCGGCUAACUACGUG